AGUCCCGGCUAGGGACACAGCUCUUAGACUUUGAGCUAGACAACCAGGAGGACAGGAGGACCUAGUAUCCUGCCUCCAUCAGCCCAUCAUUUAUGCAAAUGCUACUUAGUUGCCGUCUAGAUGCAGGAUGCUGUCUGCCCUGUUAAAUGCUGUGUGAACCCAGAUGGAAGCUGAGCAGACAUCACACUCGUGAGCAGCUCCCCUUCCUGUUUCAGGCUGGCCUUGAACUUACAGGGAUUCACCUGCCUCUGCCUCCCAGAUGCUGAGAUUAAAGGCAUGUGCCAUCACCACCUGAACAACAGCAGCUUUCUAAGGAACCAGUAAGGCACUACAGACUUUUCAUAUAACAUCACCUUCAUUCUCUCACAACUAAUUCUACAAAACAGAUGUUAUACGACCUCGUUCGCUGAAGUCAAAGAUGCAGAGGGGCCAAGGUGUGGGCUCCGGACCUCACACCAGUGUGGCAGAUUCAACAAGCCCAGAAUAAGCCUCUUCCUUUGCUCACAAUAAGAUUAAGCCAACUGCCUCUUCAUUCCUCAGUCACACUCCUCCUCUGACCCUGCUCCAGGAGGCUCAUCUUGUCAGACUUCACACUGAAUGAGCGCUGAGGAUGCUGUAGAGUAUGAGCUGUGUGCAGGAUUGCUAUCUUCUGGUCCUGUACUCCUCAAGCUCAAAGGCCAACGUCCUGGCAUUUGUGUGACGGCUUUUGCCCUACCCUGCAGAAUUUGCAAUAGGCAGUCUCUACAUGUACUCAGGGCCCAGUGGGCAUUCAACAUGUUCAUUGAAUGACAA
rnacentral:lncRNA from 1 species